rnacentral:snRNA from 1 species
GCAUGUUAAGGCAAUCUGGCUGUGACAGCUGUCACCGCAGUGAUCUUCAAGGUUGAUCCAGCUGAUCGCUGGCCAGGCCAGUGUCAUUUUCCUCCCUUGCUGCUCUGAGAGUCCCUCCUGAGGGUGGAGAAGGGGGUGGUCAGGAGGGUAGAGCAGCUGAGCUCCCCUGCUACAUUCUCCAAACAAGCUCUCAGAAAAGGAGUGGAAGCAAAGGGGACAACAGAAAGAAUUAUGGGGCUGGGGAGAUAGCUCAAAGGUUUAAGCACUUGCUGGGCAAGUGCAAUGA